ensembl:lncRNA
UGUUUGAUUUUUGAGACUUGAGAACAAUCGACUGGAAAAUGCCUGGGUGCUUUUCAAGACUGGCGGAGAGAGUGUGUGGACGUUGGCGGCCUACUGCGUCGACAGGUUGUUGAAAUUCAUUUGUGGCUUGUUUUUCUUGUCUUUUUCUGUUUUGCAGUGUUCGUGAUCGUCGACAGAUGGACAGCGACAGCAACUUCGAAGAGGAAACAACUGUCCUGGACGAGGUCCAGUUGGAUGUGCCAUUGGAUGAUGUGCCAGAUGUUUCACAGCUGCCAGUCCUCCUUGAUGUCCAGAAUGCUGCUAUCAUCCUUGAGGAUGUGCCGGAUGUGCAGACUAUCCUUGAGGAGGCCACUGGCAAUUGGCAGUUGAUUCCGAUUAGGUUCAGCCCCCUGUACUGUGGGAUAACAUGUUUGGCCAGCAGCUGGCCUGGUACUUUAACCCAGAGUCUCUGGUCACUGAGCACUCCAGCCUCCUGGAGUACCACUUGGAGAACCGCAUGGCCAGCAUGUAGUCCUACUGCAGGGACAUACUCCUUUCUCCUUCCCUCUCUCUUUUGAAGGAAUUGAGGACUUGAAGUGCUUUGUUGAACCCUGAUUAGUUAACACCCAUUAAUUUAA